AACGAACGCUGGCGGCAUGCCUAACACAUGCAAGUCGAACGAGACCUUCGGGUCUAGUGGCGCACGGGUGCGUAACGCGUGGGAACCUGCCCUUAGGUUCGGAAUAACCCCCCGAAAGGGGUGCUAAUACCGGAUAAUGUCUUCGGACCAAAGAUUUAUCGCCUUUGGAUGGGCCCGCGUUGGAUUAGCUAGUUGGUAGGGUAAAAGCCUACCAAGGCGACGAUCCAUAGCUGGUCUGAGAGGAUGAUCAGCCACACUGGGACUGAGGCACGGCCCAGACUCCUACGGGAGGCAGCAGUGGGGAAUAUUGGACAAUGGGCGAAAGCCUGAUCCAGCAAUGCCGCGUGAGUGAUGAAGGCCUUAGGGUUGUAAAGCUCUUUUACCCGGGAGGAUAAUGACAGUACCGGGAGAAUAAGCGCCGGCUAACUCCGUG
rnacentral:rRNA from 1 species